AUUGAACGCUGGCGGCAGGCCUAACACAUGCAAGUCGAACGAGUGGCGGACGGGUGAGUAAUGUUUGGGAAACUGCCUGAUGGAGGGGGAUAACUACUGGAAACGGUAGCUAAUACCUCAUACCAUCGGAUGUGCCCAGAUGGGCUUAGCUAGUAGGUGGGGUAAAGGCUCACCUAGGCGACGAUCCCUAGCUGGUCUGAGAGGAUGACCAGACACACUGGAACUGAGACACGGCCCAGACUCCUACGUGAGGCAGCAGUGGGGAAGAUUGCACAAUGGGCGCAAGCCUGACGCAGCCAUGCCGCGUGUGUGAAGAAGGCCUUCGGGUUGUAAAGCACUUUCAGCGGGGAGGCGUUACCCGCAGAAGAAGCACCGGCUAACUCCGUGCCAGCAGCCGCGGUAAUUC
rnacentral:rRNA from 1 species